AGAAUGAAACCUAAGAUCUUUACUGUG
rnacentral:piRNA from 1 species